GGAAUUUGGGAAGACUCUUCAGGAAAGCCCCAGGCUCUGAAGAUGGCCUACAGCAGCAGCGCUUCCGCUAUGCAUCAAGACAUGAGGACGAUGCACUUUCUGCUGCAUAUGAAGGAAUUCUCCAGUGAGAGCCAAUCGAUUUUCACACAGGUUAUUCUCCUGCAAUGUAUCCAGAUGACAGCUUCUGUACAGUCUCCUGCAAUGACCAGACGGGCC